UGGCCAAUACUGGUGAAAUUAAGCACUUUCAAUCCAUUUAUUGUGGCACUAUACUGCGGGGAAAGCAAGCCUGAGCCCCUUGAAGAGUAUCUCCAUGACUUUUUGAAGGAGUUAAAGAAUCUCACACAGAAUGGCCUGGUGAUUCAUGAGAAAAAGUUUGCAGUAAAUAUUCGUACCUUUCUUUGUGAUGCACCGGCUAGAGCAUAUUUAAAAUGCAUUAAAGGUCAUACUGCAUAUGACAGUUGUGAGAGGUGUGAAGUGAAAGGCCAGUAUGUUGAAAGAAGAGUCGUCUUCAAUCAGCUGACAUCCACCUUGCGCACAGAUGAAGCAUUUAGUCAGAUACAGUAUUCUCACCAUCAAAAUGGUUGUAGCCCUUUAAUAGCUGCUGGGAUUCCCUGUGUCAGUGGCUUUGUGUUAGACUAUAUGCAUAUGAUUUGCUUGGGUGUUGUUAGGCGGCUGUUGGUUUAUCUGACUAGAGGCCCAAAACUGUGUAGGCUCUCUGUGAGACAGAAAAUUGAAAUUUCACAAAAACUGAACAUGCUACGAGGCCAGAUGCCCAGCGAGUUCGCACGACAGCCCCGUGGCCUUCAGGAGUUGGACAGGUGGAAAGCAACAGAGUUCCGUCAGUUUCUUCUUUACACAGGACCUAUAGUACUCAAAAAUACUGUCUCCUCACAGCUGUAUGCUCAUUUUGUGACAUUGACCGUGGCAGUAUCCAUCAUGCUGGACUCAGAUGACCGGACAAGAGCUGCCUAUUUGGAGUAUGCCACUGAACUGAUGAGGCACUUUGUGUCUAGCUGCCCUGCACUCUAUGGAAAAACAUUUACUGUGUACAAUGUGCAUGCCCUGUUACACAUCCACGAAGAUGUCUCUCAUUUCAGGUGCUCUUUAAAUGACAUAUGUUGCUUUCCAUUUGAGAAUUAUUUGCAGCAGAUCAAAAGAUUGGUCAGGACUGGCCAAAAUCCAUUAGCGCAGGUGUCCAAACGCCUGGUCGAAAUCGAACAUGCCCAAGGAAAUUCCAGUGCACAGCCUGAGGUGAAGCCCCAAAUGUAUAUUUCAACAAAAAGGAGAGACAGCUGUUUCCUUCUGGAAGAUGAGAGGUUUGCUUUUGUUCAAGAGAGGAGGGGAGAUGGGACGGUUGUUUGCGAUGUGAUAAAACUGAGACACACUGUCGACCUGUUUGACAAACCAUGUCUGUCAAAGCUAUUGAACAUUGCGUAUAUAGGGAAUGGCCGUAGAUUACAAAGACAAGAAAUGAAGGAAAAAGACCUUGCAAGAAAAGUAGCCUGUCUAGCUUUCAACAAUGGCUCUGUCAUGAUUCCUCUGCGGCAUGGUAUUGAACAUUCAUGGUGACAAUUGGCCAGUCAAAAAGUUAUGCUUUUUGUCAGAGCCGUUUGGAAUGAAAAUGGGAAAGAAAUGGAGGGGACCAUCCCUGAUGCCUGGGUUAAUGUAGCUGAGAAAACCCUUCGGUGGCCAAAGAAGAGAGCAAAGUAUUGUUUUGAGAACCAUGUGGCCCCUAAGGAGGACUGGGAAACUUUCCCAUUAUUGAAAGUGAAAUUUACUGCAGAAAGUCUCCAUGAGUGUGAGGAGUAUGAUCAAACCAGCCAUGCUGAACAAUGUGAAGAUGAAGACGAAGAGGUUGUUGUGCAAAAGAGGAAGAAAAAAAUGAA